rnacentral:lncRNA from 1 species
GUGGAAGAAUUCUCUCGUCCUCUGAGUUAGUGGAGUAUCGACCACUGAAGAAUAUGCCAGACAGAAAGCAAUUCUUCAGUGCUUGGAAAAAGCAUUAUAAUAUUUUGUCUGUACCAUUCUAUACCAUAAUAAUGAUUGUGGUAGAAGAAAUAAUGGAGACUGAGUUUAAAUGUCCUCAGCGGGCAGGAUUAAAGCUUUACUAUGUUGCGUCCUAUUUUGUGUUUCCAGCUGUAAUUAUAUUUUUCCUGAGYUUGAUCUUCCAGCCUUCCUUCAUCCCUUGUGCUCGCUGCACGAAGAAAUACUCAGUUUCACAGGUAAUUGAUCUAAUUUUCAGAGCACUUUUACCUGCUGUACUUUGGUGUGUGAUCCUGCUGUUGGAUGGAAGAUACAUUGACUGUGUGAUUCCAGUAAAUGAAGGAAACAGCACUCAAAAGACAAGACAGAACACAACAACAGAAUCACCGACUGAUACCUACAUACUCUCCCAGGUUUGGGGGCUGUUUGUUCUUACUAUUCUUGUUGUUGGUUAUGGCCUGUACACUGUAUACCCAUUUUGGUUCUGCUGUAAUGAUGAAGAAAGACAUAGGAGAAAGCAGCUGGAGCUCCUAUUAGAGGAAAGAACACAGGAAUAUAUUACAGAAAGCACGACAGACACUGCAGAGCAGAUAAUUAAGCAGCACCUGGAGCCUACAAUCAAGCCUCUCCUUACAGAAGUUUUUAAAAAAACAGAUUUUAAAAAACUGUUGGAAAAUGCAGGGAAGACUGUGAAGUGUAUUACUAAAAAGUUGYGGAACGAUGAAGGGCAAGAGUUGGCUGUUCUCCAUUCUCCAGCCUCAAAUGUGGUGCCACCAUCCAGCACUGAUGUGCACCACAGCAAAACUGUCCUGUCCUCUGAGAGCAGCAGCUGCAUCCAUUAACUCACAGCUAUGAAGCAGCACCUAGGGGAUCUCAACCUCUCAGGCUUUGCCUUUGCCUGAAGCACAGAAUGAGGAAGAAAUAUCUUCAGGUCUCAAAGAGGAGGAGAGUUCCUGAAAAUGGUGCAGAUCCACAUUGUCUGCAUUUGCAAGGAAGUCCAAAUUAUUAAGCAUCUUACGGCAACAUAACUUUCUGAGYUUCACAAGCAUCAGCAUCUACAUCMCCAUUAAAGGGAGAUCACAAACUAAGAGGGAUUUGAACCUGCKGCCCCAUUUUAUUGUGCUUUUCAAGCCAAGCGGAUCUCAGCUCCCUUCAGCGCAUACCAGGAAUUUGGGGUCUUUUGCUCUGUUCUUUCAAUGUCCUCAGCGGGCAGGAUUAAAGCUUUGUUACAUUGUGUCCUAUWUUUKGUUUCCAGCWGUAAUUAUAUUUUUCCUGAGCUUGAUCUUCCAGCCUU